CAGUCGCCGCGGUAAUACAGUGGGUGCGAGCGUUAAUCGGAUUUACUGGGCGUAAAGCGUGCGUAGGCGGCUUCUUAAGUCGGAUGUGAAAUCCCUGAGCUUAACUUAGGAAUUGCAUUCGAUACUGGGAAGCUAGAGUAUGGGAGAGGAUGGUAGAAUUCCAGGUGUAGCGGUGAAAUGCGUAGAGAUCUGGAGGAAUACCGAUGGCGAAGGCAGCCAUCUGGCCUAAUACUGACGCUGAGGUACGAAAGCAUGGGGAGCAAACAGGAUUAGAUACCCCGGUAGUCCCUGUCUCUUAUAC
rnacentral:rRNA from 1 species